rnacentral:rRNA from 1 species
UACGUAGGGGGCUAGCGUUGUCCGGAUUUAUUGGGCGUAAAGAGCGUGUAGGCGGCCAGAUAGGUCUGCUGUGAAAACUCGAGGCUCAACCUCGAGAUGUCGGCGGAAACCAUUUGGCUAGAGUCCGGAAGAGGAAAGUGGAACUCCUGGUGUAGCGGUGAAAUGCGCAGAUAUCAGGAAGAACACCCGUGGCGAAGGCGGCUUUCUGGGACGGUACUGACGCUGAGACGCGAAAGCGUGGGGAGCGAACAGG